rnacentral:rRNA from 1 species
AGAGCGAACGCUGGCGGCAGGCUUAACACAUGCAAGUCGAGCGGGCGUAGCAAUACGUCAGCGGCAGACGGGUGAGUAACGCGUGGGAACGUACCUUUUGGUUCGGAACAACACAGGGAAACUUGUGCUAAUACCGGAUAAGCCCUUACGGGGAAAGAUUUAUCGCCAAAAGAUCGGCCCGCGUCUGAUUAGCUAGUUGGUGAGGUAACGGCUCACCAAGGCGACGAUCAGUAGCUGGUCUGAGAGGAUGAUCAGCCACAUUGGGACUGAGACACGGCCCAGACUCCUACGGGAGGCAGCAGUGGGGAAUAUUGGACAAUGGGCGCAAGCCUGAUCCAGCCAUGCCGCGUGGAUGAUGAAGGCCGUUAGGGUUGUAAAGUCCGUUUUAACGGGAGAUAAUGACGGUACCGUAGAAUAAGCCCGGCUAACUUCGCGCCAGCAGCCGC